rnacentral:rRNA from 1 species
CCUACGGGUGGCAGCAGUGGGGAAUAUUGGACAAUGGGCGAAAGCCUGAUCCAGCAAAGUCGCGUGAGCGAUUAAGGCCCUCGGGUCGGAAAGCCCUGUCCUCCAGGAAGAUAAUGACGGUCCUUGUGGGGGAAGCCCCGGCUAACUACGUACCAGCAUCCGCUGAAAUACGUAGGGCGCUAGCGUUAUCCGGAAUUACUGGGCGUAAAGGGUGCGUAGGGGGGUACUUAGGUCAGAGGUGAAAGGGUACGGCUCAACCGUAGUAAGCCUUUGAAACUGGGAAACUUGAGUGCAGGAGAGGAGAGUGGAAUUCCUAGUGUAGCGGUGAAAUGCGUAGAUAUUAGGAGGAACCCCAGUUGCGAAGGCGGCUCUCUGGACUGUAACUGACACUGAGGCACGAAAGCGUGGGGAGCAAACAGGAUUAGAUACCCCUGUAGUC